CUUUACAAUUUUAUUCAUACAAAUUGAAACCAAAAACAUAAUAGGAAGUUACAACAAUAAAAAUAACAGGAUAUUACAGAUUUUAGAUGAAAAUGUCAAAGCUAAUGAACUCUACACCAGGAGAGAAUAUGAGAGGGAGUCUUGGUGUGGAGGGCGAUGCUGAAUAGGAGGAGGUUGAUGAUUUGGAUAAGGAAUUCAAUUAUGAAAGGGGAACCAGCAAGGCUAGACAUCAAUGGCAGGGAGAAGUUAAAGAACUCUCAUCUUCUAGGCAUGGAUCUCAGCCAAUUCCUCUCCUUACCAAUGGUCAAGUGGUUUAUGGGAAAUACCAAUUGCAAGUGCGACACUAGAUAAUCAAUAUGUGAGAAGCACGUCAGGUUCUAUAGGCCCUGAGAACUGAGAAGCGUGUUAACCACUCUCUUCCUUAUAUUGACAUGCCUGCAAGUUUAUGUGAGAAUUGAGGACCCUUCAAAGGACUUGAAUUCUUAUGGGCUUGGUAGUGUGGACUUGAAGGAAAGAGUUGAAGGUUGGAAACUGAACCAGGAUAAGAAUAUGACUCAUCUUUUCCCCGCUUUGGGGUAGGGUGUUCACUGAACGAAUGUUUUUCGAAUUUCUGGGUGUUUUCAUUUUUAUGCUCUACUCACGCUAAGAGGAGAUAAAGGUUUGGGUACGUUUAUAUCAUGCAAUUCUUGAGGUGGAACAUUAUUCCUAUCCCUUCAUCGCAUCUCACUCCUUAUCGAGCUGGGAUCAUUUUAGUCUUCUUGCAAUUUCAUAUUACCCAUCCUGCGGGAGGAUGCAUAUCCGCUAUGGCUCACAUUAAUCAUAUGUGAGAUCUGGUAUGCAAUGUCAUGGAUUUUGGAUCACUUUCCAAAAUGGUAUCUUAUCACCCGUGAGACGUACCUUAACAGGGUCACAUUCAGGCAUGACCGGGAAGGAGAGUCGUCGCAGUUAGCUCCUAUUGAUGUGUUUGUCAGUGGAUCCUUUGAUAGAGCCGCCUAUCAUCACAGAUAAUACCUUGUUUUCCAUUCUACCAGUGGACUACCUAGUCGACAAAUUUUCUUGCUAUGUUUCAGAUGCUGACAUUUGAAGAUUUUUCUGAAACUUCUGAGUUCUCCAGGAAUUGGGUGCCAUUCUGUAAGAAGUUCAACAGGAAAUGGGUGUCAUUCUGUAAGAAGUUUAUAUCAGGUGACUAGAAAGAAGAUAUUGUUAAUGUCCUCAGUUGUGUUAGCGUCAUUACUCACUGAGGUUUUGACCUUUUGAAUUUUUACAUUACGUAUCAUAUCAACGUAGUCUUCCACAUCAGAUCCUAAUUUAAAGGGUAUCAUUGAGUUUGAUAUGGGAAAAUUAAAAACAUAGAUUAUGUAGAAACUGGCCUAUUUACAAUAUAAUUUCUUUAGUUACAUGA